rnacentral:rRNA from 1 species
GGGGUAAUCUUCCUCCGAAUCUGGGAUAACUUUCCGAACGGAAAGCUAAUACCGGAUAGUUCUAUUGGAUCACAGGAUUUGAUAAAUGAGGGUUUACUGUUCGGAGAUGAGCCCGCGGCCGAUUAUCUAGUUGGUGAGGUAAUGGCUCACCAAGGCGACGAUCGGGAGCCGGCCUGAAAGGGUGUCCGGCCACCAUGGAACUGAGACUCGGACCAUACUCCUACGG